UGCAGAUCCUUUCUUGUGUUAUUCACCACUUUGGAAGACACAGAGAUAUUGACUGGCUGGUGACCAUAGAUCUGGUUGUAUGAGCAACAACAAAGUCAUUAAGGAAACUGGCAGAAACAAAAGAUUAUGGCUUACAAGAAGAGUUCAAGGAAAAGGAACUAUUACUUCUCUGUGCCUGGGGCUCAAGAAAGCAUGUCUGAUUAUCCUGCGGUGCCUUCAGGAUAAAGUGCAGAUGGCUUUGUUCCAAUACGGAGGCCUGGGUGUUGUCAUCUUAAUACUCCAUCUGAUAACAGGGAACAUCAUUCUCUUUGACCAGGCACAGAAUUUCAGGAGUAUUCAUCAGUAUGUGAUUGAGGAAGAGGACAUCUAGCCAGCCAUAUUAGUCACAUGAACUCUGGCAAUCAGUGGGUUGACAGAUGCCACAGCUCUAUCAUUCUCAAGUCCUUGUAAUUGCAUGAGGUCAUCAGCCAAGAAGAAGAGUAGUUUAUGCCCAAGAGUUCUGAAUUAACGGCAAGGAAAGAAACAACUUCCACUAAGAGUUCUGCUCUCCCAGAUCCAUAAGACUGUGUUUGAGAAACCAUGGCACCAACCAUAAAAGAUAAGGGCUUGGUGUUUUCAACAUCUGAGCAACAGCGGCUUAAAUUUCCCCAGUCAACAUAUUUCUGCCACAAUUCAAAGUGCUCCCAUUUUAUUUCCUUACUCAUCUUUUGGAGGUCACACUCAGCUUUUAAUGUUCAGCUAGCCUCCUGACUCCUCUUUAAAUAAAUGAAUAGAUAAUUAGAGGAGGGUAUAAAAUUUUAAUUCAGUCUCAAUGACAAAAUCUGUUUUGACAGAAGCAAAAAACAAGAAUAGGUUCUGGAGGCAUGACAUGUCAGUUUCACUACUCCCUAACACUGAAAAUUAUAAUUCUGCUUUUGAAACAUCUUUUGAAAAUUUCUUACAGAAAGAUGCAACUUCUUAAAUUUUUUUCUUGCAUAAUCAUACCACCUUACAUUUACAGCAUUUUGCAUUUAUUAUUCCAAGUGAUUUCAGUGUUUAAUAUUCUUUUGAUUGGAUUGUUCUUCGAAAGGGAAAUUUUUAAAUCCACUAUUUCUUCCCUAUGUUGCUUAAAAGAAUGAGAAUGGUAUCAGUUACAUAGUUCAAAGUACAUGUAAGGAAAAAAGGUGACUUUGACCAGAAGAACUUUUCUUUAAAUUAUCUUCUCCCCUACAAAAUUCUGAUAAAAUUAUAACAUGUCUUACCUUA